UUGGAGGGCAAGUCUGGUGCCAGCAGCCGCGGUAAUUCCAGCUCCAAUAGCGUAUAUUAAAGUUGUUGCAGUUAAAAAGCUCGUAGUUGAAUUUCGGGAUCAAUGUUUCGGUCAUGCCGUUGGUAUGUACUGAUAUUAUUGAUUUCUCACCUUCUAAAGAACCGUAAUGCCAUUAAUUUGGUGUCACGGGGAAUUAGGACUGUUACCUUGAAAAAAUUAGAGUGUUUAAAGCAGGCUUACGCUUGAAUACAUUAGCAUGGAAUAAUGAAAUAGGACAUCCGAUUCUAUUUUGUUGGUUUCUAGGAUCGAUGUAAUGAUUAAUAGGGAUAGUUGGGGGCAUUAGUAUUCAAUUGUCAGAGGUGAAAUUCUUGGAUUUAUUGAAGACUAACUACUGCGAAAGCAUUUGCCAAGGAUGUUUUCAUUAAUCAAGAACGAAAGUUAGGGGAUCGAAGACGAUCAGAUACCGUCGUAGUCUUAACCAUAAACUAUGCCGACUAGGGAUCGGAUGAUGUUAAUUUUUUAAUGACUCAUUCGGCACCUUACGGGAAACCAAAG
rnacentral:rRNA from 1 species